rnacentral:lncRNA from 1 species
GGGUGGGUGUGGCGGGCACCUCAGCUCAAAUCAAACUGUUUCAUGGAAUGCAGGGAUUCCUUUCGAAACCCAUGUAAAAUUCAUGCAAUCCAAACGAAGUUUUUUUGCAUAAGAGUGCGCACGGAUCCGAGAUUCCUUGGACGGGCGGCAGAACCUGCGCUCGUGGAUUUUCACAUAUUUUCAUUCAUCGCAAAUGGCCAAAUGGGGUUCGA